ACGCUCACAGGCCCACCCCCGUCCUCCCUCCUUGCCUCUUCAUCUCCUUCUCCGUCUCUUGCUCCCACCUGAAGUUCCAAACUCAGUAUGCACCCCAGGAUUUGGCUCUUCUAUGGCGCGGGGUUGAGCCACACAUCGUCUGGCAUGGCCCAUUCUCUGUCUUCUCCCCCGUCACCAUUGCCGACCUCCGCGCCGCCUGUGUCCGUGAAAUGGGAAAGGAACAGGAAGCUUUGGUAAGAAGAGGAACAAGACUCACACGCCCUGUGUGAGGUGUGGAUGCCGCAGCUUUCAUCUUCAGAAGAGCAGAUGCGCUGAUCAAGAUACAUAACUGGAGCGUGAAGGCCAUUAGGAGGAAGACGAUCGGAAUUGGUCAGAUGGGGUAUUCAAGCAGCUCCAAGGAGGAAGGGGGAGCCGCAGCCGGUAACAAGUUAAAUAUUUUUUAUGUUCCACGGAUGAGAUUUAACAUUAUGAAAUCAACGAUUGAGAAUAAAAAAUAACGUUUACAA